rnacentral:rRNA from 1 species
ACGAACGCUGGCGGCGUGCUUAACACCUGCAAGUCGAACGAAGAGCGACGGAAGCUUGCUUCUAUCAAUCUUAGUGGCGAACGGGUGAGUAACGCGUAAUCAACCUGCCCUUCAGAGGGGGACAACAGUUGGAAACGACUGCUAAUACCGCAUACGAUCUAACCUCGGCAUCGAGGAUAGAUGAAAGGUGGCCUCUACAUGUAAGCUAUCACUGAAGGAGGGGAUUGCGUCUGAUUAGCUAGUUGGAGGGGUAACGGCCCACCAAGGCGAUGAUCAGUAGCCGGUCUGAGAGGAUGAACGGCCACAUUGGGACUGAGACACGGCAGACUCCUACGGGAGGCAGCAGUGGGGAAUCUUCCGCAAUGGACGAAAGUCUGACGGAGCAACGCCGCGUGAGUGAUGACGGCCUUCGGGUUGUAAAGCUCUGUUAAUCGGGACGAAAGGCCUUCUUGCGAAUAGUGAGAAGGAUUGACGGUACCGGAAUAGAAAGCCACGGCUAACUACGUG